AAAAUGGUGAUGAGAAAGAGGAGUACAUCCCGGAAACUUGCAGAGAGAACAAUUCACUGGCUGGAAGAUUGUUUAAGGGAAAAGGAUGGAAAGUAGCUUUUGAACCGGAGAACUGAAGGAGAGUGUGGCAGAAGCCAUGAUUCUGGCUGGGUAGGUUUUCCCGGGGGUUCCCGUUACAGAACUUUUGAGUGAUAAAUAAAGGUGGUACCGCGAUAACAGUCGCCCUUUGU
rnacentral:ncRNA from 1 species